rnacentral:rRNA from 1 species
AGCGAACGCUGGCGGCAGGCCUAACACAUGCAAGUCGAGCGGCCGUAGCAAUACGGCAGCGGCAGACGGGAGAGUAACACGUGGGAACGCGCCCUUCGGUUCGGGAUAACUCAGGGAAACUUGGGCUAAUACCGGAUACGCCCUUACGGGGAAAGAUUUAUUGCCGAAGGAACGGCCCGCGUCCGAUUAGCUUGUUGGUGAGGUAACGGCUCACCAAGGCGACGAUCGGUAGCUGGUCUGAGAGGAUGACCAGCCUCACUGGGACUGAGACACGGCCCAGACUCCUACGGGAGGCAGCAGUGGGGAAUAUUGGACAAUGGGCGCAAGCCUGAUCCAGCCAUGCCGCGUGGGUGAUGAAGGCCCUAGGGUUGUAAAGCCCUUUCAGCGGGGAAGAUAAUGACGGUACCCGCAGAAGAAGCCCCGGCUAACUUCGUGCCAGCAGCCGCAGUAAUAC